UGCAGUCGAACGCUUCUUUCCUCCCGAGUGCUUGCACUCAAUUGGAAAGAGGAGUGGCGGACGGGUGAGUAACACGUGGGUAACCUACCCAUCAGAGGGGGAUAACACUUGGAAACAGGUGCUAAUACCGCAUAACAGUUUAUGCCGCAUGGCAUAAGAGUGAAAGGCGCUUUCGGGUGUCGCUGAUGGAUGGACCCGCGGUGCAUUAGCUAGUUGGUGAGGUAACGGCUCACCAAGGCCACGAUGCAUAGCCGACCUGAGAGGGUGAUCGGCCACACUGGGACUGAGACACGGCCCAGACUCCUACGGGAGGCAGCAGUAGGGAAUCUUCGGCAAUGGACGAAAGUCUGACCGAGCAACGCCGCGUGAGUGAAGAAGGUUUUCGGAUCGUAAAACUCUGUUGUUAGAGAAGAACAAGGACGUUAGUAACUGAACGUCCCCUGACGGUAUCUAACCAGAAAGCCACGGCUAACUACGUGCCAGCCAGCCGCGGAAA
rnacentral:rRNA from 1 species